rnacentral:rRNA from 1 species
AGGCUCAACCUUAAAAUUGCCGUUGAAACUGUUUUUCUUGAGUAUAUUUGAAGUAGGCGGAAUUCGUGGUGUAGCGGUGAAAUGCAUAGAUAUCACGAAGAACUCCAAUUGCGAAGGCAGCUUACUAAACUAUAACUGACGCUGAAGCACGAAAGCGUGGGUAUCAAACAGGAUUAGAUACCCUGGUAGUCCACGCCGUAAACGAUGAUUACUAGCUGUUUGUGAUAUUACAAUAAGCGGCUAAGCGAAAGCGAUAAGUAAUCCACCUGGGGAGUACGCCGG